AAUGACCUCAGGAUUCUUAUAUUCCCAGGUGUGCGUUCCUGGGUAACUGACUCGGAGGGUACUGUGGUCACUUUCUAGAGUGCUCAGCUAGACAUAAACCCUUCCUUGGGAACCCCUCCUGCCCCCUGCAGCUACAGCCACCACUGGAGGGGGCCUCUGUGGCCAUAUAUGCUUCCCCUCACUGAUCAGAUUACCGGACACCUGACCCAAGACGGGCAGCAAUCAGAUUCUCCUGGAAAAUCUGAAGAUGGCGCCCACAAUUAGAGUUGGUCAGCUGUGGGAAGCCGAGCUGAAAAGUCACGUAAAAUUGAGGCCAAAGGCUGGCACCUUGUCAGACAAAGGAAAGCACAUGCUGACGUUACAGGGGAACACGAACCAUGUGGAGCCAGGGAAGCCCCAACCUGCAGGGAACAGGACGGAGCAGAUGCACAGAAGCAGGUCGAUGGCAAAGACCAUGUGGCUCCUGAGAGAAAGAGGGAAGAAGGGCCAGUCCCUGGGAGGUCUGUCCUUCCUGCCUUUGAGCCAACUUGGGUGGAUUUCUCCUUCUUACAACUGAAAGAGCCUUGAGCAGGACAGAGCCAAGUAAGGAGUGGAUGACAGACAAGUAUUUCUGGGGGCAUGCAAGAGUGUGUAGAAGCAGGUGUAAAAAUGACUCCAUUGUUGGCUUUUUGUGGACAUGCUCCUAAUGAACUUAAUUCAAGGUCUCCAUUGCUACACAUACCAGGCACUUUCCUCCCUUUCAGAGAUGGAAUUUACCUCUGUUCAUCCUACGAGAAUCUGUCAAGGCAACAGAACAGGCCACUAACAUGGCAAACGAGCCCGGACCGGCUUCUCACCUCUUGCCCCGACAGGAGCAAUCUGCAGAUUCCUAGGUGUGCAGCGCAGGGCGAGGCCCGAGUCUCACCCGGCUCCCUGGCCCAGCAUCUAGGAUGCAGCGGGGUGAAAGUCAAUAAAUGUCUGAUGAAAUGCAGUGUCCCCUCUUCUCCCACAUGUACUCCUCUAGCGCAAGGUGUUUCCUCAACAGCAGGACUUAAGAUAUUCUCUAGUCCUCACAUCCAGGGAAGGGGCCUUCGGUUAAUUUACAUCACGCUUCCUUUCGGGCUUGAUUUUCACAUAUAUAUAAACAUGCAAAUAUUCAAAUCAUUAACAUACUCUCAUUGUAAAAACACAGACAUAAAGAGAAACUCCCCCUUUCCUUGCCUCACUAUUCUAGUCUCCUCCUCAGAGGCAGCACUGUUAAGAGUUUGGUGUGUUUUGACUUUUUCCUGUGUUUAUAUACAUAUAUGCUUGUGUAGAAAUACAUAUUUUGUUUCGUUUUUAUUAAUAUAAAUGGGACCUUACUAUUAACCGUUUUGAAGCUUGCUUUCUACACUUAAGAGUACUGAACUCUUUCCAUGUCAGUGUACCUUCAUCCUGCUCAUUCUUUUUAACUGUCGCAGACAUUCCCUGAUACAGAUGAGUCCUAGUUUAAACUUUACCUGUUGAUGAACAUUUUUUUUCUAGUUUUCAUCCUAAUUUUUUUUAAAGCCAGGUUUAUUGAGGUAUACUUUAUCUGCACUAAAAUUUACUUUUUAAAAUGUGCAGAUUAAGUUUUAACACAGUCAUGUGACCACCACCACAACCAGGAUUUCCACUAUGCCAGAAAGUUC
ensembl:lncRNA